GAUGAACGCUGGCGGCGUGCUUAACACAUGCAAGUCGAACGAAGCACCUUAUUUGAUUUCCUUCGGGACUGAUUAUUUUGUGACUGAGUGACGGACGGGUGAGUAACGCGUGGGUAACCUGCCUUGUACAGGGGGAUAACAGUUUGAAACGGCUGCUAAUACAGCAUAAGCGCCCAGCAUCGCAUGCUGCAGUGUGAAAAACUACGGUGGUAUACGAUGGACCCGCGUUGGAUUGGCUAGUUGGUGAGGUCACGGCCCACCAAGGCGACGAUGCAUAGCCGACAUGAGAGGGUGAUCGGCCACACUGGAAGUGAGGCAGGGCCCAGACUCCGGCGGGAGGCCGCAGUAGGGAAUCUUACGCGAUGGGGGAAAGGGGGAUGGAGCAAAGCCGGGUGAGUGAUGAAGGUCUUCGGAUCGGAAAACGAUGUUAUAAGGGAAGAAGAAAUGUGUAAGUAACUGUGCAGGUAUUGACGGUACCUGAUCAGAAAGCAACGGCUAACUACGUG
rnacentral:rRNA from 1 species